GAUGAACGCUGGCGGCGUGCCUAAUACAUGCAAGUCGAGCGAACGGACGAGAAGCUUGCUUUUCUGAUGUUAGCGGCGGACGGGUGAGUAACACGUGGAUAACCUACCUAUAAGACUGGGAUAACUUCGGGAAACCGGAGCUAAUACCGGAUAAUAUUUUGAACCGCAUGGUUCAAAAGUGAAAGACGGUCUUGCUGUCACUUAUAGAUGGAUCCGCGCUGCAUUAGCUAGUUGGUAAGGUAACGGCUUACCAAGGCAACGAUGCAUAGCCGACCUGAGAGGGUGAUCGGCCACACUGGAACGGAGACGCGGUCCAGACUCCUACGGGAGGCAGCAGUAGGGAAUCUUCCGCAAUGGGCGAAAGCCUGACGGAGCAACGCCGCGUGAGUGAUGAAGGUCUUCGGAUCGUAAAACUCUGUUAUUAGGGAAGAACAUAUGUGUAAGUAACUGUGCACAUCUUGACGGUACCUAAUCAGAAAGCCACGGCUAACUACGUG
rnacentral:rRNA from 1 species